UCCAGGUGCACGGGAAGCGCGGGGAGUUGCCCAGCGCUCUGGGUCCCGGACGGAACCUCGAGGGUGCCGUGAGCAGUAGCCACAGCGCGGCUUCAGAGUUUGCCACAGAGUCCGACCCAUGGUACUUCCCCGAUCGAAGGUGAACUCCGAAACAGCUUAGCAGCAGCCUCGGAUCCCCGUGAAGAGCUGGAACAGAGCGGUUCCGGGCGGCCCGGCGCCUGCGCCGCUGGUGCUAGCCCACACUCCCACCGCGCUUCGCUUUUUCUAUGAGGUUAGACGUAUUUUAAGGUGAUUAAAAUAUUGGAAUGUACCUCUGAGAAAACCACCAGAGAAUUAGGUGAAGAGAGUAUCCCUAAAGAAGACGGAAGGAAUUUCCAGAGACUAGGAAGUAAAACAUUCAGAAGGUGACUUCAGUGGCAAGAGAGCCAUCACAAUGAAUUGGAAAGGGAUGAGUAAAGCCUUGAUCACGAUGUCUGGAGCUGCAGCGUCUGUCAUCAGGAGUCAACCACAAGGAUCCAUGGCUCCAAAGCCUGCAGCCAGGAAGGCUUUGUGGAGCAGCAAGAGAGCCAAGCGUGGACACCUACCCCUGGACUUCUUGUUUUGUGAGAAAAGUAAACUACUUUUGGCUUAAGUUGCUAUCAGUAGAGUUCUCUGACACUUGUAAUCAAAUGCAUUUCUAACCAAUACU